rnacentral:misc_RNA from 1 species
GGAAGGAUCAUUAAUGAUGUUAUAAAAUCCGUCCCCUACAGUGCUGGCUUAACCUGCAUGUGCACGUUGGGAGGCGGUAUUAUAAUUAUUCAUCUCCCUUUUGUGAACUCUUUGACCUUUGCUGGUUUCGACUGGCAGAGGUAUUUUACAUAAACUCGAAUGUAAUGAAAUAUGUUAUAAUGUGCGCAAGCACUGCUAAUUAUAUACAACUUUCAACAACGGAUCUCUUGGCUCUCGCAUCGAUGAAGAACGCAGCGAAAUGCGAUAAGUAAUGUGAAUUGCAGAAUUCAGUGAAUCAUCGAAUCUUUGAACGCACCUUGCACCCUUUGGUAUUCCAAAGGGUAUGCUCGUUUGAGUGUCAUUGUACUCUCACACUUCUCUUCUGUUGGUUGAGAAGUGGUGGAAUUGGAUGUUGCCGCUUCAAUGUCAGGCUCAUCUUAAAUUGCUUAGUGCAACUUUGGAUUAGACACUGUAAUACUUAAUUUUACUACACAGCGUGAUAAGUAUCUUCGCUAGUGUGCCGCCCAAUUGCGGGAGGGUGUCUUAAUCGAGGGCUCUGUGCUUCAAACUGUCCUUGGACAAAUAUCUCUGACAAAUUGACCUCAAAUCGAGUAGGAUUACCCGCUGAACUUAAGCAUAUCAAUAAGCGGAGGAAAAGAAACUAACAAGGAUUCCCUUAGUAACGGCGAGUGAAGAGGGAAGAGCUCAAAUUUUGAAUCUGGCGUCUUUGGCGUCCGAGUUGUAAUCUAGAGAAGUGUUUUCCGUGAUGGACCAUGCAUAAGUCUUCUGGAAUGGAGCGUCAUAGAGGGUGAGAAUCCCGUUUGUGGCAUGGACUCCCGUUACUUUGUGAUACACUCUCAACGAGUCGAGUUGUUUGGGAAUGCAGCUCUAAAUGGGUGGUAAAUGCCAUCUAAAGCUAAAUAUUGGCGAGAGACCGAUAGCGAACAAGUACCGUGAGGGAAAGAUGAAAAGCACUUUGGAAAGAGAGUGAAACAGUACGUGAAAUUGUUGAAAGGGAAACGCUUGAAGUCAGUCGCACCCUUUGGGACUCAGCCUAAGCUUCUGCUUGGUUUACUUCCCGUUGGGUGGGUCAACGUCAGUUUUGGUCAGAGGAGAAAGACUGGAGGAAGGUAGCAGCAUUCGUGCUGUGUUAUAGCCUCUUGUUGUAUACUCUGGCUGGGACUGAGGAACGCAGCGCGCCUUUACGGCCGGGGUUCGCCCACGUACGCGCUUAGGAUGUUGGCAUAAUGGCUUUAAGCGACCCGUCUUGAAACACGGACCAAGGAGUCUAACAUAUGCGCGAGUGUUUGGGUGUUAAACCCGGACGCGAAAUGAAAGUGAAUCUUAGUUGGGAACAUGUAAUGUGUGCACCGACGCCCGGAGCGGACCUUUUGUGAAGCAUCUGCGGUAGAGCGUACAUGUUGGGACCCGAAAGAUGGUGAACUAUGCCUGAAUAGGGUGAAGCCAGAGGAAACUCUGGUGGAGGCUCGUAGCGAUUCUGACGUGCAAAUCGAUCGUCAAAUUUGGGUAUAGGGGCGAAAGACUAAUCGAACCAUCUAGUAGCUGGUUCCUGC